UACAGAGGGUGCGAGCGUUAAUCGGAAUUACUGGGCGUAAAGGGUGCGUAGGUGGUCUGUCAAGUCAGAUGUGAAAACCCUGGGCUUAACCUGGGAACGGCAUUUGAAACUAGCAGACUCGAGUGCAGGAGAGGGAAGUGGAAUUUCCGGUGUAGCGGUGAAAUGCGUAGAUAUCGGAAGGAACACCAGUGGCGAAGGCGACUUCCUGGCCUGCAACUGACACUGAGGCACGAAAGCGUGGGGAGCAGACAGG
rnacentral:rRNA from 1 species